CACGCCGCGGUAGUACGAAGGGUGCAAGCGUUAAUCGGAAUUACUGGGCGUAAAGCGUGCGUAGGCGGUUUGUUAAGUCUGUUGUGAAAUCCCCGGGCUCAACCUGGGAAUGGCAAUGGAUACUGGCAAGCUAGAGUGUGUCAGAGGAUGGUGGAAUUCCCGGUGUAGCGGUGAAAUGCGUAGAGAUCGGGAGGAACAUCAGUGGCGAAGGCGGCCAUCUGGGACAACACUGACGCUGAGGCACGAAAGCGUGGGGAGCAAACAGGAUUAGAUACCCCAGUAGUCCCUGUCUCUUAUACAA
rnacentral:rRNA from 1 species